rnacentral:rRNA from 1 species
GAUGAACGCUGGCGGCGUGCUUAACACAUGCAAGUCGAACGGAAAGGCCGAAGCUUGCUUCGGUACUCGAGUGGCGAACGGGUGAGUAACACGUGGGUGAUCUGCCCUGUACUUCGGGAUAAGCUUGGGAAACUGGGUCUAAUACCGGAUAUGACGAUCUCUUGGAUGGGGUUGUGGAAAGCUUUUGCGGUAUGGGAUGAGCUCGCGGCCUAUCAGCUUGUUGGUGGGGUAAUGGCCUACCAAGGCGUCGACGGGUAGCCGGCCUGAGAGGGUGUACGGCCACAUUGGGACUGAGAUACGGCCCAGACUCCUACGGGAGGCAGCAGUGGGGAAUAUUGCACAAUGGGCGCAAGCCUGAUGCAGCGACGCCGCGUGGGGGAUGACGGCCUUCGGGUUGUAAACUCCUUUCGCAAUCGACGAAGCCUUUUGGUGACGGUAGGUGGAGAAGAAGCACCGGCUAACUACGUG